rnacentral:rRNA from 1 species
GACGAACGCUGGCGGCGUGCCUAACACAUGCAAGUCGAACGAACAGGCCCGGCUUUUGUGGGUCUGUCGAUUGGCGAAGGGGUGAGUAACACGUGAGUAACCCGUCCCUGUCUGUGGGGUAUCUUCAGGAAACUCCGGCUCUUACCCCAUAUGAUCUCUUGCUGCAUGUUGGGCGAUGGUAAGAUUCGGCGGUUGGGGAUGGACUCGCGGCUUAUCAGCUUGUUGGGCGGGUAGGGGCUUACCAAGCCUUUGAAGGGUAGCCGGCCUGGGAGGCGGACCGGCGACAUGGGGACUGAGAGACGGCGCAGCCUCGAACGGGAGGCAGCGGGGGGGAAUAUUGCACAAGAGGCGGAAGCCUGAUGCGGCAACGCCGCGUGCGGGAAGAUGGGUUUUGGGUGGUAAACCGAUUUGGCAUGAAACGAAGCGUGAGUGACGGUAAUGGGUAAAGAAGCACCGGCUAACUACGUG